CUCUCUCUCUCUCUCUCUCUCUCUCUCUCUCUCUCUCUCUCUCUCGCUGAAGCUCAGUUGAAGGCUAACUCAUUCACGACCGUGAGAUGGAGAUGCAGUUGCUUUACUCCAAGCUUCAUGAUAAGUAUACAGAGCUGAAUAUGAGAAAGGAAUCUAAGAUUGAGCAGUACAACCAUGAACAGAAUCAAAGUUAAUGAAUUACAUAUCUGGUACUCGUUUUCCUCAUCAUAUUUAUUAUCCUUCAUUUACUUCAUUUAGUUUUAUUGCAUUUUUUUUUAUCAUGCUUCAAAAUUGUCACCAACACCUAUUACGUCAGUCAAUAUCUCUAUUGAACUGUAUUAUGCUUUUAAUAAUCUACUUCUUUUCUUUCUUUUUUUUUCCCUUUUAUGUUCUUUUCUUCAGAUCCUACUACAUGGACAGCCCCAUUUCUUCAAAACCAAUCUGCCUUGACUUUUUUGUGGUAGCAUAUGGCCUCUUCAUGAAACAAUUUCUUAAUAUAUUGCAUGCUUUCUGAACCCACUGUCAUGUUAAUCUCUUCUUUCUGUAUUAUUUUCCCAGCU